rnacentral:lncRNA from 1 species
GGUCUGUGUCUCAAAAAUCAGGCAAGAGAAGUCUAUUUACAGAGCAACUGCCGUCUCCUGGCUCCUCUUAUGUGCAGGGCUGAUUUAAGAAACCAGAGCGUUCCUUAACAUUGGAAACAAGAAACAGUCGUCCAGUGGUUGUCAGGUCGUUUCGGUUGUAUGGGACACCUCCAAACUACAGCCAAAUGGACUAGUGUCCUAAGAGUGUUCCUGUCACAGAUGGGCUGCGUUUGUACUGAUCAGAAGUCUGUGUUCACGUGCCUCUAGCUGUUACCCUGUGGAGACUGAGGAGAGACACGACAUUUCAGUUUGUUUCUAACGUUGUUCAUUUUUCAGUGCACUUUGCUUGUGUAAUAAAUUAUGCCUAUUCUAUUAAGGAAAGAGAGCGGAGAUUAGUAAUGAAGUGUACCAAAACAAAGAUAUAUUCGCUGACAAAAAUCUUCCCCAUGGUGAUCUGAAUGAAUCAAAAACGUUUCUCCUGUGGAUAUUUCCCCAGCUCUAAGCAAAAGUGACACCCAAGGAAAACAAAUGCAGUUUGCUAGAACGCUGUGAAAGAAAUGGUCAUUCUCGUUCCAAUGUGUGUAUUUUAACUGCAGAGAAAAUAUCCCAAAAAUAUUAAUAAUGAUCAGGGUUUUUUUGGAUUCCUUUCUUUUGCAAAUUGUGCUAAGGAAACUAUGGCAUAGAAAUAAACAUUUGACAUUGAAAGAAGCAGUC